rnacentral:rRNA from 1 species
UGGGGAAUAUUGGACAAUGGGCGAAAGCCUGAUCCAGCAAUGCCGCGUGUGUGAAGAAGGCCCUCGGGUUGUAAAGCACUUUUAUCAGGAACGAAAUACCACGGGUUAAUAACCUAUGGGGCUGACGGUACCUGAGGAAUAAGCACCGGCUAACUUCGUGCCAGCAGCCGCGGUAAUACGAAGGGUGCAAGCGUUAAUCGGAAUUACUGGGCGUAAAGGGUGCGUAGGCGGUUGUUUAAGUCUGUCGUGAAAUCCCCGGGCUCAACCUGGGAAUGGCGAUGGAUACUGGGCAGCUAGAGUGUGUCAGAGGAUGGUGGAAUUCCCGGUGUAGCGGUGAAAUGCGUAGAGAUCGGGAGGAACAUCAGUGGCGAAGGCGGCCAUCUGGGACAACACUGACGCUGAAGCACGAAAGCGUGGGGAGCAAACAGGAUUAGAUACCCUGGUAGUCCACGCCCUAAACGAUGCGAACUGGAUGUUGGUCUCAACUCGGAGAUCAGUGUCGAAGCUAACGCGUUAAGUUCGCCGCCUGGGGAGUACGGUCGCAAGACUG